UACGUAUGGUGCAAGCGUUAUCCGGAUUUACUGGGUGUAAAGGGUGCGUAGGUGGCAUGGCAAGUCAGAAGUGAAAGGCCGGGGCUCAACCCCGGGACUGCUUUUGAAACUGGCUUGCUUGAGUUGGAGAGAAGUAGGCGGAAUGCGCGGUGUAGCGGUGAAAUGCGUAGAUAUUAGAAGGAACACCAGUGGCGAAGGCGACUUGCUGGGCCAUUACUGACGCUGAGGCACGAAAGCGUGGGGAGCAA
rnacentral:rRNA from 1 species